rnacentral:rRNA from 1 species
UACGAAGGGGGCUAGCGUUGCUCGGAAUCACUGGGCGUAAAGCGUGCGUAGGCGGUUCGUUAAGUUCGUUGUGAAAGCCCCGGGCUCAACCUGGGAACUGCAAUGGAAACUGGCGGGCUUGAGUGUGGCAGAGGGGGGUGGAAUUCCGCGUGUAGCAGUGAAAUGCGUAGAGAUGCGGAGGAACACCGAUGGCGAAGGCAGCCCCCUGGGCCAACACUGACGCUCAGGCACGAAAGCGUGGGGAGCAAACAGG